rnacentral:rRNA from 1 species
UACAGAGGGUGCGAGCGUUAAUCGGAAUUACUGGGCGUAAAGCGCGCGUAGACGGUUUUGUAAGUCAGAUGUGAAAUCCCUGGGCUCAACCUGGGAACUGGCAUUUGUGACUGCACGGCUAGAGUGUGUCAGAGGGGGGUAGAAUUCCACGUGUAGCAGUGAAAUGCGUAGAUAUGUGGAGGAAUACCGAUGGCGAAGGCAGCCCCCUGGGAUAACACUGACGCUCAUGCACGAAAGCGUGGGGAGCAAACAGG